GACGAACCGUGCGAACGUUAUUCGGAAUCAUUGGGCUUAAAGCGCGCGUAGGUGGCUUCGUAAGUCCGUUGUGAAAGUCAAAGGCUCAACCUUUGAAUGCCGAUGGAUACUGCGAAGCUAGAGUACGGAAGAGGCGAGUGGAAUUCCUGGUGUAGCGGUGGAAUGCGCAGAUAUCAGGAGGAACACCAAUAGCGAAGGCAGCUCGCUGGGACGUUACUGACACUAAGGCGCGAAAGCGUGGGGAGCGAACAGG
rnacentral:rRNA from 1 species